rnacentral:lncRNA from 1 species
GCUGUCUGGCCGGUCGCUUGGCCCGGGUGGAAGCUAUGAGCGCGCCGCCAGCGGGGCUCCUCGGAGGCGGCGGGGCAGGCCCGAGCUGGGCUCCUGUGGCCGGGGUGGGAGGAGAAGAGGCCGCGCGGCACGGGUGAGUGCCCAGGUUCAUUCAUGCAGAGGGCAUUUAUUGGGUGACUGCAGUACUGCAAAAGGUUGCAAAGGAAAUGGAAGAUCUGGUCCCUGCAGGUUGGGAGUUUACAAUCUAAUUAGAAAUACAAGGCAUAUAUACGUGAAAAAACUAGAAUCCCCAGCUGUAAGCAAAAGGAUGGAGUAGGUGGGAGCAUUUUUUUCAUAAAGAGAGCUUUGUACCUGUAUGAUUGGUGAGGAGCAGGAGAGGCAAGUUCAGUACCAAUCAAGGCAAGAGCACCUAUAUGUAUCCCUGCUCUAUAGAAUGAUGUAACAGGGCCCUCAUUGUCACUUGGCUGAAGUGUCAGCUCUGCCACUUACAAACUGUUUUGAACUGGGGCACAUUUUUAACCUAAGAAGGGAAUACAGGUUGUCUCGUGAGGUGGUUGUGCAGUUCAAAUGAGAUUACAAACGUGAAAGCUUGUGAAGCUCAAUGAUGUACAUUCAUGGAGUCCUCAUUGUACAAACUGGCCCUUCUUGGUAACCUUUAGAGUUCCCUCCCAGGCUGUAAGCUGCAAGAGGGCAGGGACCAGGUCUGAUUGUAUUCAUCAUGUAUCACAAUGUUUAGCAGAAGGGUUCAUGUGGGUGUUCAAUAAAGUUUUGCUGAGUAGGUAAAUAAAUGAAUUAAUGAAUCCUGUUAUGCUCUGAACAGUUCCUAUUAUUUGUUCCUUAAGCAGUUCCUUCAAUAGUGGUCUUAUUGUAUGGCUGGCUCAGUGAAAAACACUCUAACUCAACCUCCUGUGACUUACUAGUGUGCCAGGAGACUGGGAGAAUUCUGGAUGGUACUGUCAGAGGCAUUCAAACCAGAGAAACUCCAUUUUGAAUGAGGGCUAGGAAAAUGAGACUGAGACUGGCUGGGCUGCAUUCUCGGGAAGUUAGGCUUUCUUAGCCUCUAGAUGUUUACAGCUAAGGGAACAAAUUAAUAGUGUUUACUAAACAAACCCAGACUUGGGAGUGUCCAGAUAUCCCGAUAUCUGGAGAACAAAGGCAUUCCUAAUUUUGCUUUAAAGAUAAUAUUGAUUCUUGCAAAAUAUAGUAAUUUAUUUAUUUAUCACAAACUCUUGUAGCAGAGCACAUCUCCCUAUAUAUACGAGCGAUGUACCUAGCAUGGAAUCGUUCCUCCUCUUACUUUCGGCAACAUCCUACUUUGUCUAUGGAGUAGGUGUCCUUUCAC